rnacentral:rRNA from 1 species
UACGUAGGGACCGAGCGUUGUCCGGAUUCAUUGGGCGUAAAGAGCUCGUAGGCGGCCACUCAAGUCGAAUGUGAAACCUCGAGGCUUAACCUCGAGCCUGCAUUUGAUACUGGGCGGCUAGAGUCUGGUAGGGGGAUCUGGAAUUCCUGGUGUAGCGGUGGAAUGCGCAGAUAUCAGGAGGAACACCGGUGGCGAAGGCGGAUCUCUGGGCCUUACCUGACGCUGAGGAGCGAAAGCGUGGGGAGCGAACAGG